rnacentral:tRNA from 1 species
GCGUCCGUAGCUCAGCGGUAGCAGCGCUGUCGCGACAUGGCAGAGGUCGGCGGUUCGAUCCCGUCCGGACGCA